rnacentral:sRNA from 1 species
UACUCGAAUGGCGUUAUCAUAACGGAUC